CUUCAGUCAAUUAAGCCAGUCAUUUUCCUUUCCUCAUAGGGACCUGGUGUGCAACGGCCACAAGCAGCAGCCUCCUUGAGAGUGUGUGCAGCCUGUUAACUGUGUAGAUUGCUCUAAGGGACCUUGAGGACAGUU